rnacentral:rRNA from 1 species
CGAGUACGACCCGUUACGACGGGGAAGUGUCUGAUGUCAGGCUUCCAAGAAAAGCCCGAACCACGUUAAUUCAAAUUGGCCCGUACCCUAAACCGACACAGGUGGGAAGGUAGAGUAUACCCAGGGGCGCGAGAUAACUCUCUCUAAGGAACUCGGCAAAAUGGCCCCGUAACUUCGGGAGAAGGGGUGCCACCGAGAGGUGGUCGCAGUGAAGAGUCCCAGGCGACCGUUUACCAAAAACACAGGUCUCCGCUAAGUCGCAAGACGAUGUAUGGGGGCUGACGCCUGCCCAGUGCCGGAAGGUUAAGGAAGUUGGUCAGGGAGAAAUCCUGAAGCUAGCGACUGAAGCCCCGGUGAACGGCGGCCGUAACUAUAACGGUCCUAAGGUAGCGAAAUUCCUUGUCGGGUAAGUUCCGACCCGCACGAAAGGCGUAACGAUCUGGGAGCUGUCUCGGAGAGAGGCUCGGCGAAAUAGGAAUGUCUGUGAAGAUACGGACUACCUGCACCCGGACAGAAAGACCCUAUGAAGCUUUACUGUAGCUUGGUAUUGGGUUCGGGCUUUGAUUGCGCAGGAUAGGUGGGAGACUAUGAGAUAGCUCUUGUGGGAGUUAUGGAGUCACUGGUGAGAUACCACUCUAUCAAGGCUAGAAUUCUAACUUUGACCCGUUAUCCGGGCAGAGAACAGUAUCAGGUGGGCAGUUUGACUGGGGCGGUCGCCUCCUAAAUGGUAACGGAGGCGCGCAAAGGUUCCCUCAGGCUGGUUGGAAAUCAGCCAUUGAGUGUAAAGGCAUAAGGGAGCUUGACUGCGAGACUGACAAGUCGGGCAGGUACGAAAGUAGGCCUUAGUGAUCCGACGGUUCCGCGUGGAAGGGCCGUCGCUCAACGGAUAAAAGUUACUCUAAGGAUAACAGGCUGAUCUCCCCCAAGAGUUCACAUCGACGGGGAGGUUUGGCACCUCGAUGUCGGCUCAUCGCAACCUGGGGCUGUAGUCGGUCCCAAGGGUUGGGCUGUUCGCCCAUUAAAGCGGUACGUGAGCUGGGUUCAGAACGUCGUGAGACAGUUCGGUCCAUAUCCGGUGCAGGCGUAGGAACAUUGAGAGGAGUCUUCCUUAGUACGAGAGGACCGGGAAGAACGCACCGCUGGUGUACCUGUUAUCGUGCCAACGGUAAACGCAGGGUAGCCAAGUGCGGAGAGGAUAACCGCUGAAAGCAUCUAAGUGGGAAGCCCACCUCAAGAUGAGUGUUCCCAUGGCAAAAGCCAGUAAGGUCACGGGUAGACCACCCGUUAAUAGGCGCUAGAUGGAAGUCCAGCAAUGGAUGUAGUCGAGGCGUACUAACAGACCGAGGGCUUGAC